GGUAAGGUCAAAUUUCUUCCCAUCCUGCUACUUUCCACAAUUCAGACUUCAAAUUCGUGGCUCCAAGAGGACUGAGCAUAUAACAAGGGUUUUCCUCUUUGAAAUUGGUAAGGUCAAAGCUUGCUUUCUUCCUGCUACUUUGCACAAAUGGACGAUUUCAGACUUCAAAUUUGUGGCUCCCAAGACGACUGUGCAUAUAACUAGGGUUUUGGAGUAUUGAUUUUCAACAACGAUUUCCCUGAGGUAUUGAUUUACAUUUCAUGGCUCCUUAGCGAUUUCUCUGAGGUUACUUAUGAUACAAUUGGGCAGGCCUCGAUAGUGUUGUAAGUCAAUUCUGCUGUGAAUGUGAAAUGUUGGUGGCUGCCGUUGCUGGACAUUAUAUUGAUGGUGUCUUUGAACACGGCGGGUCAUCGGAGCAUAAAAAAGGUGUGUUUUAGAUGUUUCCUCUUUUGUAUGGUCAUGAUUGCAAUUUGAACUAAUCUUCAAUAAACCUUCUUGGUCAUCUUGCAUUUGUUAAAUCAUAUAUAUGAGAAACUUAUGAUCUCUGUUAACAUGAAUGCAUUUCUUUAGAAUAAAUGGUAAAUAAGCUUGAUAUAGAGGAAAACAAAGUUCCAAAAAUGUGAAAGAGGGCUAGAUGAACAGCUGGGUUGGUAACUUAAUAUGAACACAGUCUCUAUGAGCUUAAGCUCUUAGUUGGGUUGGUAACUUAAUAUGAACAGCUGCCAUAAACAUAUGGCAUACACAGAUGUAUUAGACAGGUUCACUAUUUAAUUUUCAAAAACUCAUUUUCAAGUGGUCUUUAUAUGUUUACCUGCUGAUUCUGUAAAUAAGAAGAAAAAACAAUUUAAGAGAUCAAUUAGGAUACAAGUACACAUUUUCUUUAAACACCAACUGCAAAAGAAACCCUGCUUGAGUCGAAUGUAUCAAUUUUAAAUCUUUGCUUUGAACUGCUAAUCUUUUGUUAAGUGUGUAUUUCUAUCAGUUCCCCUUAUGGUUUUAUGUCAAAACUGCUUCAAAGAAAUCCAGGAUGAUGCACUUCAUGAUCAACAUCAUCCCUCCAAAUCCAGGAAGAGCAUAAGUAGGUACAAAUAUUACUUAUGUGUGAUGGCAAAGCCUGAGCUAAAGUAAUACUCUUAUUCCUGCAAGAAUCGUAGCUCCAAAUAGCAAGGGUCCCUAUACACAUUAACUAUGUUAUCUUUCUCUGUUAUUGUGUAAACAUCUAUCAUUGACAAAGGCCAUAUGAUAAUUUGUUCUAGCAAUGUUUUACUUCAAUCUA